rnacentral:rRNA from 1 species
UACGUAGGGCGCAAGCGUUUAUCCGGAAUUAUUGGGCGUAAAGAGCUCGUAGGCGGUUUGUCGCGUCUGCCGUGAAAAGUCCGGGGGCUCAACUCCGGAUCUGCGGUGGGUACGGGGCAGACUAGAGUGAUGUAGGGGGAGACUGGAAUUCCUGGUGUAGCGGUGAAAAUGCGCAGAUAUCAGGAGGAACACCGAUGGCGAAGGCAGGUCUCUGGGCAUUAACUGACGCUGAGGAGCGAAAAGCAUGGGGGAG